AAAGUCGUAACAAGGUCUCCGUUGGUGAACCAGCGGAGGGAUCAUUACAGAGCUUAACAACUCCCAAACCCCUGUGAACAUACCACCGUUGCUUCGGCGGGUACGCCCCGGGCGCGCGCAAGCGUGCCCCGGAACCAGGCGCCCGCCGGGGGAAACAAACUCUUGUCUUACUUUUGUAUCGUCUGAGUGGAUUAUUAAAUAAAUCAAAACUUUCAACAACGGAUCUCUUGGCUCUG
rnacentral:misc_RNA from 1 species